GUGCAGCAGGCAAGAAUUUUUCACAAUGGGGAAACCCUGAUGGAGCGACGCCGCGUGGAGGAUGAAGGCGUUUUCGUCGUAAACUCCUGUCAUGCGAGAACAAGAAAGUGAUAGUAUCGCAAGAGGAAGAGGCGGCUAACUCUGUGCCAGCAGCCGCGGUAAUACAGAGGCCUCAAGCGUUGUUCGGAUUCAUUGGGCGUAAAGGGUGCGUAGGUGGCAUGGUAAGUUGAAGGUGAAAUCUCGGAGCUCAACUCCGAAACUGCCUUCAAUACUGCUGUGCUCGAGGACUGUAGAGGAGAAUGGAAUUCACGGUGUAGCAGUGAAAUGCGUAGAUAUCGUGAGGAAGACCAGUGGCGAAGGCGAUUCUCUGGGCAGUUCCUGACACUGAGGCACGAAGGCUAGGGGAGCAAACGGGAUUAGAUACCUCUGUAGU
rnacentral:rRNA from 1 species